rnacentral:tRNA from 1 species
CGGGGCGUGGCUCAGUUUGGCUAGAGCGCGUGGUUUGGGACCACGAGGUCGACAGUUCAAGUCUGUCCGCCCCGA